UGGCUAUGAAAAUUCUCAUAGCAACAAACUGGAAACAAUCUAUAGAUAUUAGUUAUAAUCAAUAGGCAAAACAACGAACGCUCCAACUAAAGAUGGAAUUGGGUAUAUGCUGGAGAAAUAAUUCUUCAGUCAGGAAUAAAAUUAUAAGAGAGAAAUUUCUUGAUGUAGCGUCGGCAUUUAUUAAAAUCUGAGUAAAAUAAACACUUUUAAAUCCUCAAAAUAUAAGUUUUAUAUGGAAUAGAUAAGUUUUGCUCUCCCCCAACUCGGCCUUUUCCCUCACAGGUUAUGUGUAAUAUGUAUGAGUAAAUAGUAAGUCUUUGUAUGUCAAUGUUGUA